AACGAACGCUGGCGGCAGGCCUAACACAUGCAAGUCGAGCGAAGCCUUCGGGCUUAGCGGCGGACGGGUGGGCAACGCGUGGGAACGUGCCCUUUGGUAUGGAAUAGCCCCGGGAAACUGGGAGUAAUACCGUAUGUGGUCGAGAGACGAAAGAUUUAUCGCCAAAGGAUCGGCCCGCGUUGGAUUAGGUAGUUGGUGGGGUAAUGGCCUACCAAGCCGACGAUCCAUAGCUGGUUUGAGAGGAUGAUCAGCCACACUGGGACUGAGACACGGCCCAGACUCCUACGGGAGGCAGCAGUAGGGAAUAUUGGACAAUGGGCGCAAGCCUGAUCCAGCAAUGCCGCGUGAGUGACGAAGGCCUUAGGGUUGUAAAGCUCUUUUACCCGGGAUGAUAAUGACAGUACCGGGAGAAUAAGCUCCGGCUAACUCCGUGCCAGCCGCCGCCGUAA
rnacentral:rRNA from 1 species